rnacentral:rRNA from 1 species
UGAGGAAUAUUGGACAAUGGGCGCAAGUCUGAUCCAGCCAUGCCGCGUGCAGGAAGAAGCAUCUAUGGUGUGUAAACUGCUUUUGUACGGGAAGAAACACUCCUUCGUGAAGGAGCUUGACGGUACCGUAAGAAUAAGGAUCGGCUAACUCCGCGCCAGCAGCCGCGGUAAUACGGAGGAUCCAAGCGUUAUCCGGAAUCAUUGGGUUUAAAGGGUCCGUAGGCGGUUUAGUAAGUCAGUGGUGAAAGCCCAUCGCUCAACGGUGGAACGGCCAUUGAUACUGCUAGACUUGAAUUAUUAGGAAGUGACUAGAAUAUGUAGUGUAGCGGUGAAAUGCUUAGAUAUUACAGGGAAUACCAAUUGCGAAGGCAGCUUACUACUAAUGGAUUGACGCUGAUGGACGAAAGCGUGGGGAGCAAACA